CCCGCCACUAUGCCGGUCUGUCUUGGUGACCAGAGUGUAAUCCAGUGGAGGCUCAGAAUAACCCGGCUUUAGGAAACAGGGCUGCUCAGACCCGUGGGCAACUCUGUGCCGUAAAGUCUGGAACACAA